UACGUAGGGGGCGAGCGUUGUCCGGAGUUACUGGGCGUAAAGGGCGCGCAGGCGGUCUGGUAAGUUUGGAGUGACAGUGCUCGGCUUAACUGAGCAAGGCCUUCGAAAACUGCUAGACUUGAGCACUCAAGAGGGACAUAGAAUUCCGGGUGGAGUGGUGAAAUGCGUAGAUAUUGGAAGGAACGCCGGAGGCGAAAGCGGCGCACUGGAUUUCUUCUGACGCUGAGGCGCGAAAGCUAGGGGAGCAAACGGG
rnacentral:rRNA from 1 species